GCCGCGGUUCACUGUUAGAGGCCAAUGGGGGCUGCGGAAAGCGGCAGCCAGCACAUCCCUUGGCUUGUGCCACUUCCCGCAGCCCCCACUGCUGGGGAACAGUAUUCUGCACCAGGCCUGUAUCAGCUCCCACCCUCAUUCUCAGCAUGGCCACACUUGCUUACAGGCUCUUGGUGCUGGAGGACAGUUAAACCAGCAGCUGUGUAUGAGCCCUACUGCUGCGUUGCCAUUGUUGGAUCUGUUAGGUCUGGACCCAGGAACCUGCUGAUUAAGACACAGGUAGAGAGCUAAAUAACCUGCUUUUUUAUUCAACUGAUGCAUUGUUUCUUACUCCACUACAGUGAACCUUGAUACAUAAUGAUGCCCUCUAGUGGUUAGCAAGGAAUAUGCACAAUUACAUUACAGACCUUACAGGAAUCAGCAGGUGUGCUCCCCCAACUGGAAUUUUUUUUUAGUUACAAACUCCAGAAUAUGUGAGUUCAUGUUGUCUGCAAAGCCUCAGGUCAUGUUUAGGCCCUGAUCUUGCCCUGUGUCCAUGCAGAGCCCUACUGAAAUCCUAGACUGCCCUCUUUAAAAAAAUGUAAGCAUGAAUGAGCCUCUGCACUGCAGGAAAGGACAGAGGGCACUGGGAAACAAUACACUUAGUGGUAUACCUGGAAUCAGCCUGUGGCUGCUAUAAAACAGAGGUGCUGUACCCACAGUACAUUAGUUUGAGGGUGUGCAGCUUCUUGCAUCUCAUGGAACAUGCACAGUCAGUUCCUACUCACUUUCUGGACUGCCAGGCGCACUGCAGCUCAACCCACAAGCAAAGCACCAGGGUCCAGCAAGUCCAUUCAGAGCAAACAAGAGAAGGAAAGUGAGUAAUCAAAAUGGAAUGUGGAGGUAGCCCAAACUAUAAUAUGAAGUGUGAGACACUCCAAGGGCAGCCAGUUGGCCAACAGCUUGGAUUGUAGUAUCCUCUAGAGUUCAAGGUUUCAGCCAUUACUGUCUCCAAGGAUACCAGUGUGGGCUACAAAAUAUCCAUUUUGGAAUGCAGACAUUCCAUCAGUUCAUAGAUGUUUCCUUUGUCUGGCAAAUGAUAGUACAGAAGUAAUUCCUGAGCACCGUGCAGGGGGCCUAAUAGCUUCCUGGACGGUUGGAGUCUGGAGUCAUAAAUCAGACAUAGAAUAGCAUUUCCCCCCUCCUCCCUUAGGCAUUUUAAAGGCUCCUAGAGUAUUAAUUACAGCAGUAUGAAGUACAGCUUAAGAGGGUUCAUAAGCCUUGUCAGCACUGGAAUUCUCCAAUUUCAGCCAUCUGUGGCCAGCCACCAAUGCAGCUGCACCAGUACAAACCCUCUACUGUAGGGAAGCAAAGCUGGUAUACAUCAUGAUGGUGCAGCUGACCCUGAUUUCAAGCAGGGAUAAAGCUGUACCAGUGCAAACAGUGCCUUUGCCUGUCUACGGUAGGGACUUUGUUCUGGUGCAGCAGUAACCCACAUACCUCCUGGAUGUGGUGUACCAUCCCAUCUAGUGGCACCAAGACCACUUAGAGAAAGAGAUUAAUGAGUCUGCUCUACAGCCUUAGCUAAGAGCCAUAUGGAGUAGAGACUGAUGCAUUAAGCUUCAGACGUCCCAGGUUUGAUACCACCUGCUGACAACUGGGAUCUGUCAGCGUUACACAGCUUCUCCAAUGGCUGGCCAUCAAUGGGUAAAAUCCCAUGUUGACAAGGCCUUAGCAGGUAAAAAUGAACAACUGAAAAGCCUCAACAGCAAGCUUACUCCUUUAAUGGCCAGGUUCUUCUUUCAGUAGCAACCUGAUUUUCAGAGUUGCUGAGUAACUACAGCUCAAGUCUGAAAUCAGGCCAUAAAAUAGAUAGGUUCCAUUCCUCUUAUAACAGAGUUCUCAUGGACUUGUCACUAUGCCAAAAGGUUCCCUUACUUUUGACACAUUUGAACAGUCACAACGGUGGUAGGGGGGAAAAGAGACAUUAUGAUGUAACAUAAAACAUGAAAAGCUUGCUGAAAGCAGCUACCUAUAGAAAAAGCAAAGUAGAUGCUACUUCUCCAGUCAAAGUAGAGUAUCAGCUGUGACUAGAGGUGCGAGCCCUACAGGGAGAUUUCCUCAGUGGAACGGAGCCUCCAAAUUGCCAAACAGACAAGCCCUUCGGUUGAAGGGGGCACCCAACCUUUGUGGAAGGGUUGGAAAAACGUUGUCCUACUAUGGCCCCUUGAAAGGGAUAGGUGACUCCAGGCCUUUGAGGAACCUGAUGACCACCUUGUGAGAAGACGAAACAGUUGUCCACCUUGGGAUGGAAGGCAGAGAUGGCUGCUAGGUGGACCUUGACAGAAGAGAGGGCUAAAUCUUGUUUCAGCAGUAGCAGGUACUCCAGAAUGAGCUGCGGAGAUGACUGUGAAGGUGGAAUUUUAUGUUGGGAGCACCACAUGGAGAAUCGGUGAUGUAAGCAGAGUCAGAAUGAGCUCUUCCCUGACAUCUGGUGGUGAGCUGUGGAAAAGGACUUCAAUGGCUGAUCUAGUUUGCAUGGGCACACCCACCCUGCCUAGCAUGA